AGCAGCCGCGGUAAUUCCAGCUCCAAUAGCGUAUAUUAAAGUUGUUGCAGUUAAAAAGCUCGUAGUUGAAUUUCGGGAUUAAUAUGUUGGUCGUGCCUUGGUACGUACUGGCAUUAUUGAUUCCUACCUUCUGAAGAACCUCGAUGUCAUUAAUUUGGUGUCUUGGGGAAUCAGGACCGUUACUUUGAAAAAAUUAGAGUGUUUAAAGCAGGCUCGCGCUUGAAUACAUUAGCAUGGAAUAAUGAAAUAGGACGUUUGAUUCUAUUUUGUUGGUUUCUAGGAUCGACGUAAUGAUUAAUAGGGAUAGUUGGGGGCAUUAGUAUUCAAUUGUCAGAGGUGAAAUUCUUGGAUUUAUUGAAGACUAACUACUGCGAAAGCAUUUGCCAAGGAUGUUUUCAUUAAUCAAGAACGAAAGUUAGGGGAUCGAAGACGAUCAGAUACCGUCGUAGUCUUAACCAUAAACUAUGCCGACUAGGGAUCGGAUGAUGUUAAUUUUUAAUGACUCAUUCGGCGCCUUAAC
rnacentral:rRNA from 1 species